CCCUUAGAUGUCCUGGGCCGCGCGCGCGUUACACUGAUGCAUUCAACGAGCUUAUAACCUUGGCCGAGAGGCCUGGGCAAUCUUGUUAACGUGCAUCGUGAUGGGGAUAGAUUAUUGAAAUUAUUAAUCUUGAACGAGGAAUUCCUAGUAAACGCAGAUCAUCAAUCUGCAUUGAUUACGUCCCUGCCCUUUGUACACACCGCCCGUCGCACCUACCGAUUGGAUGGUCCGGUGAAGCCUCGGGAUUGUGGUUCUUGCCGCUUUAUUGUGGCGUGACCGCGAGAACUUGUCUAAACCUUAUCAUCUAGAGGAAGGUGAAGUCGUAACA
rnacentral:rRNA from 1 species